AGCGAACGCUGGCGGCAGGCCUAACACAUGCAAGUCGAACGGACCCUUCGGGGUUAGUGGCGGACGGGUGAGUAACACGUGGGAACGUGCCUUUAGGUUCGGAAGAGCUCCUGGAAACGGGUGGUAAUGCCGAAUGUGCCCUUCGGGGGAAAGAUGUAUCGCCUUUAGAGCGGCCCGCGUCUGAUUAGCUAGUUGGUGAGGUAAUGGCUCACCAAGGCGACGAUCAGUAGCUGGUCUGAGAGGAUGACCAGCCACAUUGGGACUGAGACACGGCCCAAACUCCUACGGGAGGCAGCAGUGGGGAAUCUUGCGCAAUGGGCGAAAGCCUGACGCAGCCAUGCCGCGUGGAUGAUGAAGGUCUUAGGAUUGAAAAUCCUUUCACCGGUGAAGAUAAUGACUGUAGCCGGAGAAGAAGCCCCGGCUAACUUCGUGCCAGCCGCCGCGGUAACAC
rnacentral:rRNA from 1 species